ACUCGCCUGCACGAAGUCGGAAUUGCUAGUAAUCGUAGGUCAGCAUACUACGGUGAAUACGUUCCCGGGCCUUGUACACACCGCCCGUCAAACCAUGAGAGUUGGCAACACCCGAAGUCGGUAGUCUAACCGCAAGGAGGACGCCGCCGAAGGUGGGUUGAUGAUUAGGGUUAAGUCGUAACAAGGUAGC
rnacentral:rRNA from 1 species